rnacentral:rRNA from 1 species
AACGAACGCUGGCGGCAUGCCUAACACAUGCAAGUCGAACGAGCCCUUCCGGUUUAGUGCCGCAGGGGUGCGUAACGCGCGGGAACCCGCCCUUAGGUUCGCGAUAACUCCCCGAAAGGGGUGCUAAUACCGGGUAAUCUCCCCGGACCAAAGAUUUAUCGCCCUUGGAUGGGCCCGCGUUGGAUUAGCUAGUUGGCAGGGUAAAAGCCUACCAAGGCGACGAUCCCUAGCUGGUCUGAGAGGAUGAUCAGCCACACUGGGACUGAGACACGGCCCAGACUCCUACGGGAGGCAGCAGUGGGGAAUAUUGGACAAUGGGCGAAAGCCUGAUCCAGCAAUGCCGCGUGAGUGAUGAAGGCCUUAGGGUUGUAAAGCUCUUUUACCCGGGAUGAUAAUGACAGUACCGGGAGAAUAAGCUCCGGCUAACUCCGUG